rnacentral:rRNA from 1 species
AUUGAACGCUGGCGGCAGGCCUAACACAUGCAAGUCGAGCGGAUGAAGGGAGCUUGCUCCUGGAUUCAGCGGCGGACGGGUGAGUAAUGCCUAGGAAUCUGCCUGGUAUUGGGGGAUAACGUCCGGAAACGGGCGCUAAUACCGCAUACGUCCUGAGGGAGAAAGUGGGGGAUCUUCGGACCUCACGCUAUCAGAUGAGCCUAGGUCGGAUUAGCUAGUUGGUGGGGUAAAGGCCUACCAAGGCGACGAUCCGUAACUGAUCUGAGAGGAUGAUCAGUCACACUGGAACUGAGACACGGUCCAGACUCCUACGGGAGGCAGCAGUGGGGAAUAUUGGACAAUGGGCGAAAGCCUGAUCCAGCCAUGCCGCGUGAGUGAAGAAGGUCUUCGGAUUGUAAAGCACUUUAAGUUGGGAGGAAGGACAGUAAGUUAAUACCUUGCUGUUUUGACGUUACCAACAGAAUAAGCACCGGCUAACUUCGUG